UACAUCGGAACGUGCCCAGUCGUGGGGGAUAACUACGCGAAAGCGUAGCUAAUACCGCAUACGAUCUACGGAUGAAAGCGGGGGAUCGCAAGACCUCGCGCGAUUGGAGCGGCCGAUGGCAGAUUAGGUAGUUGGUGGGGUAAAGGCUCACCAAGCCAACGAUCAGUAGCUGGUCUGAGAGGACGACCAGCCACACUGGAACUGAGACACGGUCCAG
rnacentral:rRNA from 1 species